rnacentral:rRNA from 1 species
ACGUAGGAGGCGAGCGUUAUUCGGAUUUACUGGGCGUAAAGCGCGUGCAGGCGGUUUGAAAAGUUGGAUGUGAAAGCUCCUGGCUUAACUGGGAGAGGUCGUUCAAAACUAUCAGACUAGAGGAUGAGAGAGGGAGGUGGAAUUCCGAGUGUAGUGGUGGAAUGCGUAGAUAUUCGGAGGAACACCAGUGGCGAAAGCGGCCUCCUGGCUCAUAACUGACGCUCAGACGCGAAAGCUAGGGUAGCAAACGG